UGGUGGGGGAGACUUGUAAACGGGAGGAGGCGAGUAGUACUUAACCGGUGGUGGGGGAGACUUGUAAACCGGAGGAGGCGAGUAAUGCUUAACCGGUGGGGGUGGAGACUUGUAAACCGGAGGAGGGGAGUAGUGCUUAACCGGUGGUGGUGGAGACUUGUAAACGGGAGGAGGCGAGUAGUACUUAACCGGUGGUGGUGGAGACUUGUAAACGGGAGGAGGCGAGUAAUGCUUAACCGGUGGGGGUGGAGACUUGUAAACGGGAGGAGGGGAGUAGUGCUUAACCGGUGGUGGUGGAGACUUGUAAACGGGAGGAGGCGAGUAGUGCUUAACCGGUGGUGGUGGAGACUUGUAAACGGGAGGAGGCGAGUAGUGUUUAACCGGUGGUGGUGGAGACUUGUAAACCGGAGGAGGCGAGUAAUGCUUAACCGGUGGAGGAGGGGAAGAGUAGAAGUAAUUUGCAGUGGUUUGAGAGACAAAAGCAAGGGAGAAUGCUAAGACAAGGAAAGAGGCCAUUGGUGACCCCAUUUUGUUAUGUGUUUU
rnacentral:lncRNA from 1 species